UACUCUAAUAUUCUUCUGAUG
rnacentral:piRNA from 1 species